UGUGUGAGAUGUUAUAACUGAGGAUCAUGUUAAAGUGUGUGAGAUGUUAUAACUGAGGAUCAUUGUGUAAGAUGUUAUAACUGAGGAUCAUUGUGUGAGAUUUUAUAACUGAAGAUCAUGAUAAAGUAUGUUAUAACUGAGGAUCAUUGUGUGAGAUUUUAUAACUGAAGAUCAUGAUAAAGUGUGUGAGAUGUUAUAACUGAGGAACAUUGUGUAAGAUGUUAGAACUGUGAGGAUCAUUGUGUGAGAUGUUAUGCAU